UGAAGGGCCCAACAGAAAUCCCAAAACGCGGCAUCAACGGGAAACUCGAAAUGAAAAAGCCCUUUUUCACCCCUUCCCAACGCACGUUUCGUUCUCUUCUCUCUUCUCUGCUCGUUGGAUUUCAAACUCACAUUCUCUCCCCUAGUCAUGUAUGGCGAUGGUGAGUGUUCACUGUGGCCUCUCUUUUCUAACAAAAUUGCAAUUUUAUUUUGUUGGUAAUUGGCAGACAAAGCAUCAGCAAUAGUGAUAGACCUGGGUUCGCACACUUGCAAAGCCGGUUACACUGGCUAAGAUGCUCCCAAGGCCGUCUUUCCCUCUGUUGUUGGUGCAAUUGAUCAAAUGGACAUUGAUGGAACUGCUGAUGUUGAUCAGAACUCAGGAGCUGACAAAAACAAGGGAAAAUGCAAACUUAAUGUAGGGUCUCAGUCACUAGGAUACCGCAGAGACUAUAUGGAGGUGCUGUCACCAUUGAAGAAUGGAGUUGUUGUUGACUGGAAUAUUGUAGACAACAUAUGGGAUCAUGCUUUGAGGGAAUGCCUCCUAGUUGAUCCUAAAGAGCGUCCAAUGCUACUUGCCGAACCAUGUUCCAACACUCAAGAACAGAGAGAAUUCUGUCAACAGGCAGCAGAACUUAUGUUUGAAAAAUAUAAAGUACCAGCGUUGUUUUUGGCAAAGAAUGCUGUUCUCACAUCUUUUGCAUCAGGGUGUGCUACCUCAUUAGUUAUUGAUAGUGGUGGUGGAUCAACUACUGAUGUACCAGUACUGGAUGGUUAUGUUCUUCAAAAGAGAAAGCAUAUUCUAACAUUCCUAUGACUCCAUACGAGCUUCCUGAUGGCCAUGUUUGGAUAAGGGGGAGUAUACUGGCUUCUCUUGGCUCCUUCCAGUAGAUGUGGUUCUCCAAGUCCGAGUAUGAAGAGCAAGGUGCUUCUUAUAUCCAAAGAAAGUGCCCUUGAGUUUUCUAACGGAUGUGAAUACGUGUUUAUUUUCUUACCAUUAUUGGGAGCCCGGCAGUUUCAGGAAGUCCAAUGUUGAGCACUAAAUUAGUGCCCUUGUCAUCAAUGACCUGUUUCGAAUUCAUGCUAUUCUCUUCAGUGUUUUACUAGGCGGUUAUAACUAUUGUCUAGAUUGAUAUUGACAGCUUAUUUAUCUGCUGUCGAGGUUGAUGUAACAUUAUAACUAUACUGUAACUGGCACAAGCUCAUUUUCUUUUUCUGCAUCACAUUGCAUGACUGCAUCCCCCUCCCAUAUAGUGUAAUGAAGUCUAAGUUAAAUUCCUGUUGAAGUCUGUAUAGUGGAUAGCUAGCUAUUGCCGUUGCUGCACCCCAUUGUGCUUAUUGAUGCCAAUACAGUUAAUGCUCGAGGCAUUAGUGACACUUUAACUAAGCUAAAUGACGUUGUACCUUAAUUUGGUUGAGGCAAAUGUAUAUGUUACAAGUUACAGCGUGA